CCUCUCCCUCCCUCACUUUCUCUCUCUCUCCCCCUCUCUCUCGCUUAUGAUUUUUGCUUCCCCGAGGACUGCCACAGUUCGCCUCCGCCUUCGCCUCCGCCGCCAUCCCUCUUUGAAGUCCACCGAGAUCUCUCCCUCUCUCUCAGGUGCGGCUCUCUUCGGUACUCUUUGGCUCUCUCUCUCUCACAGUCCACCUACAGGUUGUCGUCGCUGCCACAUCAUUCUUGCCGUCACCAUCGCUGCACAACCGUCGGUGUCCGUUUUUAUCUCGGUAUCCAUCUCUCUCUCUUUGCAUGGAAUUUAUGGGA
rnacentral:lncRNA from 1 species